rnacentral:rRNA from 2 species
CUAGUAACGGCGAGUGAAGCGGCAACAGCUCAAAUUUGAAAUCUGGCCCUAGCGGUCCGAGUUGUAAUUUGUAGAGGAUGCUUUUGGUUAGGUGCCUUCUGAGUUCCCUGGAACGGGACGCCAGAGAGGGUGAGAGCCCCGUACGGUUGGACACCGAGCCUCUAUAUAGCUCCUUCGACGAGUCGAGUAGUUUGGGAAUGCUGCUCUAAAUGGGAGGUAAAUUUCUUCUAAAGCUAAAUACCGGCCAGAGACCGAUAGCGCACAAGUAGAGUGAUCGAAAGAUGAAAAGUACUUUGAAAAGAGGGUUAAAUAGCACGUGAAAUUGUUGAAAGGGAAGCGUUUGCGACCAGACUUUUUCCAGGCGGAUCAUCCGGUGUUCUCACCGGUGCACUUCGCCUGGUUUAGGCCAGCAUCGGUUCUCUUAGGGGGAUAAAGGCCUGGGGAACGUAGCUCCUUCGGGAGUGUUAUAGCCCCUAGCGUAAUACCCUUCGGGGGACCGAGGAACGC